rnacentral:rRNA from 1 species
AUACGGAGGGUGCAAACGUUGCUCGGAAUCACUGGGCGUAAAGCGCGCGUAGGUGGAUCAAUUAGUUGAGGGUGAAAUCCCGGGGCUCAACCUCGGAACUGCCUUCAAUACUGUUGAUCUUGAGACCGAGAGAGGUGAGUGGAAUUCCUAGUGUAGAGGUGAAAUUCGUAGAUAUUAGGAAGAACACCAGUGGCGAAGGCGGCUCACUGGCUCGGUACUGACGCUGAGGUGCGAAAGCGUGGGGAGCAAACAGGAUUAGAAACCCUAGUAGUCC